UACGGAAGGGGCUAGCGUUGCUCGGAAUCACUGGGCGUAAAGCGCACGUAGGCGGACUCUUAAGUCAGGGGUGAAAUCCUGGAGCUCAACUCCAGAACUGCCCUUGAUACUGGGAGCCUUGAGUUCGGGAGAGGUGAGUGGAACUGCGAGUGUAGAGGUGAAAUUCGUAGAUAUUCGCAAGAACACCAGUGGCGAAGGCGGCUCACUGGCCCGGUACUGACGCUGAGGUGCGAAAGCGUGGGAGCA
rnacentral:rRNA from 1 species